UUUUGAGUAUGUGGCUGACGUAUGUAACAUGUUUAAAAGCCGGUCUGUGCUAUCAAUAGCUCAAACCUGUUUCUUAACAUCAAGUCUCAACACUGUUUUGUAAGAAGCAAGACGAUCCUUCUUGUUUUCGGACUAUUAUCUUUGAGAAAAUGGCCAGCAAAGAUAGACCCGUGGGUGCUGCUGCCGCUGUUGAACUCUGCGCACGCGAGCUUCGUCAAGCCGGCGAUGAACUCUACUGGAAAUACAAACUGCUGGAAAUACUUAUCAAGCACUACAAGACUGUCGCUAAUGUCAAGUGAGACAUGAUGUGAGAGCUCAUCAAGAGGAAGCGUGUACUAUAAAUCUGACUGGCCGUGAGCCUAACAUUAAAGAGGAGUCUCAUAUAUAGAUUCAUAACUGGUGGCAAUAUGGUAGCCGUAAGUGGGAUGUACAUAUGUUUGUGGACACAUCUUGCUGGAGUCGCUGGAUUUGGACUGGCAGUGGACUCAAAGGAAGACAGGAGCUCUCCAGAGGAAAACUUGUGGGAUGCUGUUGAUCCGCCUGAUACAGAUCGGUGACGAAUUGGGCCGAAGAGGAGCUUCAGAAUGGAUGAUACCUGCUAAAGAUGCUGAUUGUCACAUGUAUAUAUACCGUAUACUAUCUGUGGACAUUCAUGCAUGUUAGCUCUGUUAAAGGUUAAGCUGUAACAUUUAGAUUAACUGACUAAAGGAAAUGACACUUGUGAAUCUAUAAAUUCUGUGAAUCUACUUAAAAUGCAUUUUAAAAAAAUGUCAGCAUAAGUGGAAGUGUGUCAUGAAUAGUUAAUAAAAAGAUAUACAUGCAGUAAUUGUA